CCCCUUUCCUUUCCUUCUCCCCUUUCCCUUUUCCUCUCCCCUUUCCCUUUCCUUCUCCCCCUUCCUUUCCUUCCCCCCCUUUCCCUUUCCUUCUCCCCCUUUUCCCUUUCCUCUCGCCCCUUCCCUUCCUUCUCCCCCCUUUCCCUUUCCUUCUCCCCUUUUCCCUUUCCUUCUCCCCCCUUUCCCUUUCCUUCUCCCCCCUUUCCCUUUCCUUCUCCCCCUUUUUGCUUCCCUCCCUUUUCCUUUCCUUCCCCUCCUUUUUCCUUUCUAAAUUUUAUUUUAUUUUAUUUUUUUCUGGCUCAAACCCUCUUUACCAGGUGGCCUCGCUAAUUCCGUCUAUUCCUGCUCUCCUGGCUCCAGGAUGUGCCUACAGGAAUGAAACGAGUGUGCAAAUUGUUGGAAAGCAUCCCAGGGGAGGCUAAUGGCUACCUCAUGGAUUGUACCAUGGAGCUGGAUUCCAGACAGAAACUCUCCCCUGACUGUGGUCCUUGGGCAGCAAAACCAAAGCAAAAUUCCAUGGUAUGUUUACAUUGUGAGUCUGUUUGUUACAAGAUCAUAUUUAAAACACAUUUUAUAGUAAAGCUGCAAAAAAAAGGCUUUUUUUUUUCUAAUAGUGUUGUAUGUGGUUUUGUUCAUCAGAUUUUGGAAAACCAUGGAAGCAAAGGAGCUGCACAGCCUUGCCCCAGAUGUAUUGCUGGAGAGUCUGGACACUUCAGUCAUAUCAUGGGCUUCUAGAAAUGGAGAGCUGGCAGAAGAGCAGCACUGCUUUCCUGUUUGGAUCCUGGAGGUGCCCCUGUUCCCACUUGGAUCCUUGCAACACCCCUCCUCUGGUCUGGUUUGUGGUGCUCAGCACGCACCAAAUGGCUCUGGUAGCACUCAGUGCACAAUUAGCAUCAUUUUUACACUUGAAAAAAAAUGCUUCUGCUCUUAAGGUAGCUCAGAAUAUGUUUGAAAAGGAAAAGAAAAGGUUGAUUUAAUGUUUUGGAACUAAUUAAGUUGAUCUGGCCUUGGGCCUUGUCUUCACCUGGUCCUGGGCCAGAGGUCACAUUCAUGUCACAUUCAUGUCACAUUGAUGUCAGAGGUUUUCCUGGACACAUUCCAUGGCACUCUUGGAAAAUGCUUCUUUUACAGGGCCACAGGCAGAAACAGGAGGACACAAAUAUUUUGGUUUUUAAGUGGCUGCUCAGCUUUGCAGCUGAGAAGGCCAAUAAAAAUCCCCUUGAAGCUUAUAUUGAAAUCCA
rnacentral:lncRNA from 1 species